AUCCUGUAUAGUUUAUUCAUCCAAUUUCGUAAAAGCCAGAACCACAGGGAGAACGGACUUGUAGCAGCCAAGCGUUCAUAGCGACGCUGCUUUUUGAUUCUUCGAUGUUGGCUCUUCCUUUCAUACUGAAGCAGAAUUCAGAUUAUUCAUUCACUAAUAUGGAACCUGAGCUGGGAUCAGUCCGUCUUGAGACAGGUUAGUU
rnacentral:ncRNA from 1 species